UGGGGAAUAUUGCACAAUGGGCGAAAGCCUGAUGCAGCGACGCCGCGUGCGGGAUGAAGGCCUUCGGGUUGUAAACCGCUUUUAAUUGGGAGCAAGCGAGAGUGAGUGUACCUUUUGAAUAAGCACCGGCUAACUACGUGCCAGCAGCCGCGGUAAUACGUAGGGUGCAAGCGUUAUCCGGAAUUAUUGGGCGUAAAGAGCUCGUAGGCGGUUUGUCACGCCCGGUGUGAAAGUCCAUCGCUUAACGGUGGAUCUGCGCCGGGUACGGGCAGGCUAGAGUGCAGUAGGGGAGAUUGGAAUUCCCGGUGUAACGGUGGAAUGUGUAGAUAUCGGGAAGAACACCAAUGGCGAAGGCAGAUCUCUGGGCUGUUACUGACGCUGAGGAGCGAAAGCAUGGGGAGCGAACAGGAUUAGAUACCCUGGUAGUCCAUGCCGUAAACGGUGGAUGCUGGAUGUGGGACCCUUCCACGGGUUCCGUGUCGGAGCUAACGCGUUAAGCAUCCCCGCCUGGGGGAGUACGG
rnacentral:rRNA from 1 species